GAUGAACGCUGGCGGUGUGCCUAAUACAUGCAAGUCGAGCGAACGGACGAGAAGCUUGCUUUUCUGAUGUUAGCGGCGGACGGGUGAGUAACACGUGGAUAACCUACCUAUAAGACUGGGAUAACUUCGGGAAACCGGAGCUAAUACCGGAUAAUAUUUUGAACCGCAUGGUUCAAAAGUGAAAGACGGUCUUGCUGUCACUUAUAGAUGGAUCCGCGCUGCAUUAGCUAGUUGGUAAGGUAACGGCUUACCAAGGCAACGAUGCAUAGCCGACCUGAGAGGGUGAUCGGCCACACUGGAACUGAGACACGGUCCAGACUCCUACGGGAGGCAGCAGUAGGGAAUCUUCCGCAAUGGGCGAAAGCCUGACGGAGCAACGCCGCGUGAGUGAUGAAGGGCUUCGGAUCGUAAAACGCUGUUAUUAGGGAAGAACAUAUGUGUAAGUAACUGUGCACAUCUUGACGGUACCUAAUCAGAAAGCCACGGCUAACUACGU
rnacentral:rRNA from 1 species